GUGAGGGCGAUCUGGCCGGAACAUCUGUCACCCCAUUGAUUGCCAGAAUUGAUUCGGCUGAUCAGGCUGGCUAGGCGGGUGUCCUCUCCCUCCUUCACAUGUGCGUCCCUCCCAAAGCUGUGCGCCCAGUGGAAGAGGACGCCUGUCCUCAAUAGAGGAGGACCGGUCUUCAGGCAAGGGUAUAGGAGUAGCUGUGCCCCCCAGCUAAGACCUCCAAACAAGCUCUCAAAACGACUUUUGAACGCAUGGCUACAGAACUGAAGCUGCUAGAGGGGUAGAUGCUUUGGAGAAAAAUCCAAAUGUGGAGAUGGCAUCUUUU
rnacentral:snRNA from 1 species